rnacentral:rRNA from 1 species
UACGGAGGGUGCAAGCGUUAAUCGGAAUUACUGGGCGUAAAGCGCGCGUAGGCGGCUAGAUAAGUCGGAUGUGAAAGCCCCGGGCUCAACCUGGGAACUGCGUACGAUACUGUCUGGCUAGAGUAUGAGAGAGGGAGGUAGAAUUCCACGUGUAGCGGUGAAAUGCGUAGAUAUGUGGAGGAAUACCGGUGGCGAAGGCGGCCGGCUGGCUUGAUACUGACGCUGAGGUGCGAAAGCGUGGGGAGCAAACAGG